rnacentral:tRNA from 2 species
CGGGGUGUAGUUCAGUUGGCUAGAAUGCGUGCUUUGGGAGCAUGAGGUCGUCGGUUCGAGUCCGGCCACCCCGA